rnacentral:rRNA from 1 species
AGAGGUCCCAAGCGUUGUUCGGAUUCACUGGGCGUAAAGGGUGCGUAGGUGGUGAGGUAAGUCGGAUGUGAAAUCUCCGGGCUCAACCCGGAAAUGGCAUUGGAAACUACCUUGCUAGAGGGUUUGAGGGGGGAUUGGAAUACUUGGUGUAGCAGUGAAAUGCGUAGAUAUCAAGUGGAACACCAGUGGCGAAGGCGAAUCCCUGGAAAAUACCUGACACUGAGGCACGAAAGCUAGGGGAGCAAACAGGAUUAGAUACCCUGGUAGUCCUAGCCCUAAACGGUGCUUGCUUGCUGUAAGAGGAAUCGACCCCUCUUGUGGCGGAGCUAACGCGUUAAGCAAGCCGCCUGGGAAGUACGGUCGCAAGAUUA